rnacentral:rRNA from 1 species
UACAGGGGGUGCAAACGUUGCUCGGAAUCAUUGGGCGUAAAGCGCACGUAGGCGGUUCGUUAUGUCGGAUGUGAAAGCCCUUGGCUUAACCGAGGAAGUGCAUCCGAAACUGGCGAGCUAGAGUACUAAAGAGGAUCGCGGAAUUCCCGGUGUAGAGGUGAAAUUCGUAGAUAUCGGGAGGAACACCGGUGGCGAAGGCGGCGAUCUGGGUAGAUACUGACGCUAAGACGCGAAAGCGUGGGGAGCAAACAGG